AGCCUUAUCGGUGGAUCACUCGGCUCGUGGAUCGAUGAAGAACGCAGCAAACUGCGAUAAUUUGUGCGAACUGCAGAAACCUUGAGCACAAAAGUUUUGAACGCAUAUUGACGCAUUGGGGUCAAACCUUUUGCAACGUCUGGUUCAGGGUCGUUUUCUUUUAAAGCGAAAGCUUUAAUUUAUAUAUGCUAUUUAUGCUUUAUAUUUUAAGAGGGUUGUUGUUUGUCCUAAUUUAUAAAUAUAACUGCAAAAAUCAAGCAACUUUGACCUGAACUCAGUCGAGAGCACCCGCUGAACUUAAGCAUAUCAGUAAGCGGAGGAAAAGAAACUAAAUAGGAUUCCCCCAGUAACGGCGAGUGAACAGGGAAAUGUCCAUCGCUAAAUCAUUUUGCCUCAGGCAUUAUGAGGUGUAGCGUAUAAGCCGUAAUCUUUGAUCUUUUAUCUCAAACAAGUCCCCUUGACAGGGGUUCCGCAGAAGGUGCAAGUCCUGUACAUUGAGAUAAUUUAUCAAUAUUUGCGUGCUUUAGAGUCGGGUUGUUUGGGAUCGCAGCCCAAAGUCGGUGGUAAACUUCAUCUAAGACUCAAUAUUGCCACGAGACCGAUAGCAAACAAGUACUGUGAAGGAAAGUUGCAAAGCACUUUGAAGAGAGAGUUAAAGAGGACGUGAAACCGGUGAGGUGGAAACGGAUAGAGUCGGCGUAUCUUUCAAGUAUUCAUUUACAUUACUUUUAUGUUGUGAUCUCUGAGCUCCAGAUUGGGACAGAGGGAAGCUGCAUAAUUUUCUGUGAUGCAUUUACUUGUUUGGUGCUUGGGUAUGUUUGAGGCAGAUUUGUAACCGCCGUUUUCAGGCCAGCUUGCUGGUACCCAAACGGUGUUAGCAUAUUUUGUCUUGGACAUUUGAGUAUGGCUUACGGACAUUUAUUGGUUCGAUCUGAGUGUAAGUUACGGUCGCAUGCGACACGUGCUUUUCAAUUAGUUCGGUCCAGUUAAUGCUCUCGUACUCCUUUCCCAUGUAAAAGCCGGUCAUCUAUCCGACCCGUCUUGAAACACGGACCAAGGAGUUUAUCGUGUGCGCAAGUUUUUGGGUGUUAAAAACCUAAAAGCGAAAUGAAAGUAAAUGGCUCUUUAGAGUCUGAUGUGCGAUCUUGUAAAAAAGUGCAGCAUGGCCCCAUUCUAACUGUUUACAGUAGGGUGGCGAAAGAGCGUACGCGGUGAGACCCGAAAGAUGGUGAACUAUUCCUGAGCAGGACGAAGCCAGAGGAAACUCUGGUGGAAGUCCGAAGCGGUUCUGACGUGCAAAUCGAUCGUCUGACUUGGGUAUAGGGGCGAAAGACUAAUCGAACCAUCUAGUAGCUGGUUCCCUCUGAAGUUUCCCCCAGGAUAGCUGGAGCUCACGAGUAGUUAUACUCGGUAAAGCGAAUGAUUAGGACUUGGGAACGAAAUGUUCUUAACCUAUUCUCAAACUCUAAAUGGGUAUGAUGUCAAAGUUGCUUGAUUUUGAACUUUGGCGUUGAAUACGAGCUCCAAGUGGGCCAUUUUUGGUAAGCAGAACUGGCGAUGUGGGAUGAACCAAACGCGGAGUUGCGGUGCCAAAGUGCCCGCUCAUUAGACCCCAUAAAAGGUGUUGGUUGAUACAGACAGCAGGACGGUGGCCAUGGAAGUCGGAAUCCGCUAAGGAGUGUGUAACAACUCACCUGCCGAAUCAACUAGCCCUGAAAAUGGAUGGCGCUGGAGCGGGCCACCUAUACUCUGCCGUCAUAUGCUUGUAUUUUUGAGUCUUGCAAUGACGUGUAAGAGGGUCGUAGUGGUUGCGUUGAAGGCUUUGGGUGUGCACCCAGCUGGAGCUUCCACUAGUGCAGAUCUUGGUGGUAGUAGCAAAUAUUCAAGUGAGAUCCUUGAAGACUGAAGUGGAGAAGGGUUCCACGUGAACAGCAGUUGAAUGUGGGUCAGUCGAUCCUAAGGCACCGGCUAAAGCCGUCUAGACACUGCGGGGAGAUGAAAUACUUAACGGUAUUUUGUCCACCCGGUUGCCGAAAGGGAAGUGGGUUAAUAUUCCCACACCAGGCAUGGGAGAUGGUGAUCCGCAAGGAUUACUUUGCGCGGUGACGCAAACGAACUCGUAGACCUCGUGUGGAGUCCGGGCCAGAGUUCUCUUUUCUGGUUUAGAGAUCAUGUCCCUGGAAGUGGCUCAGCCUGAGAUAGGGAUGCUGGUCUCGUAAAGCGCAGCGGUUCCUGUUGUGUCCCGUGUGCUCCACAUGAGCCGUGAAAAUGCGAGGGAGGCAAUUUAAAAUCUCCUGCCUGAUCGUACCCAUAUCCGCAGCAGGUCUCCAAGGUGAACAGCCUCUAGUCGAUAGAAUAAUGUAGGUAAGGGAAGUCGGCAAAUUAGAUUCGUAACUUCGGGAAAAGAAUUGGCUCUAAAGGUUGGGUCAAUCGGGCUGUUGUGUGAAACAGGUGGACUUUGCUCGUGGCUGCUUGCGCUUCCUUUCGGGGCGGCGCUUGUGGACUAGUAGUGAGGACUGCUUGUGGAGCGCUUCAGCUGCGUGCUAUUUCGCAAGAUAUAGUACUUCGAUUGGCGCUGAACAACCAGUUUAGAACUGGCACGAACUCCGGGAAUCCGACUGUCUAAUUAAAACAGAGGAGACGGAUGGUCCUUGCAGGACGUUGACCGUGUCUGAUUUCUGCCCAGUGCUCUGAAUGUUAAGCCAAGGAAACUUGAUUAAGCGCGGGUAAACGGCGGGAGUAACUAUGACUCUCUUAAGGUAGCCAAAUGCCUCGUCGGCUAACUACCGACGCGCACGAAUGGAUCAACGAGAUUCCCACUGUCCCUAUCUACUAUCUAGCGAAACCACAGCCAAGGGGGAAACCACAGCCUGCUUAGUACGAGAGGAACCGCAGGUUCAGACAUUUGGUUCAUGUGCUUGGUCGAUAGGCCAAUGGCGCGAAGCUACCAUCUGAGGGAUUAUGACUGAACGCCUCUAAGUCAGAAUCCCGCCCAGUCAUGAUAGCAAUAUAUAUCGCUCUCCGGUGUCGGAAGGCAAAAUGUAUGCCACUUUUGUGGUAGUACAAGCCCCAGUAUCUGGCAUUUUCUUUCUACUAUAAUUGGUAGUUGGUUGCUAAAAGCUUAGCACUCCUCGUGCAGGUGUAACGUCGGGGCGCAAAAUCACUUGUAUACGACUUGAAUACUGGUCAGGGGGUUGUAUCCAGUAGAGCAGCUCUUCGCUGCGAUCUGUUGAGACUUAGCCCU
rnacentral:rRNA from 1 species